UACGUAGGGGGGCAAGCGUUGUCCGGAAUUAUUGGGCGUAAAGAGCGCGUAGGCGGUCCGGUAAGUCGGUUGUGAAAGUCGGGGGGCUCAACCCUCGGAUGCCGAUCGAUACUGUCGGGCUAGAGUCCGGAAGAGGCGAGUGGAAUUCCUGGUGUAGCGGUGAAAUGCGCAGAUAUCAGGAGGAACACCAAUAGCGAAGGCAGCUCGCUGGGACGUUACUGACACUGAGGCGCGAAAGCGUGGGGAGCGAACAGG
rnacentral:rRNA from 1 species